GCAGGCACGGGCAGCCAUCCAGCCUCCCACCCAGGAUGGGGACAGGUGCAUGUCUUGGAGAGCUCUCUGAGCAGCAGCUGAGAGCCUGGCUGGAAGUGGAGGCCGGACAGUGACAAAGGCAUCCGCCUGCGGGAAUGAAGCAGCAUUCACAACAGCCAAAAAGUGGAAAUGGCUCAAAUGUCCAUCAACAGAUGAAGGGAUACAUAAAACGUGGUCCAUCCAUGCAGCAGAACAUGACUCGGCCAUAGAAAGGACUGAAGUCUGGUAAAUGCCACAACAGGGAUGAGCCUUGAAAACUAAUGAACGACAUCAGUCACAGGUGAGGUACCUGAGCCUAAGGAACUUUCUGCAGUGGAUGGCAAUGAGCAGCCUGCAUCCUGAGCCGCACACUUCACAGAUGCCUCUCCGUGAAGGCACCACUGGCCAGCUGAGUGGCGAGGAGGAUAGGAAAGGAGCCCGGACUGCACAGGACAGCCCUGCACACCGUGGGACAUGGAUGCUGGCCCUCCUACUUCUGACGAUGUGGGAUGUGCUCUCCGAUCCUGAAUGGCCCUGGCCCUGAAGCCUCCAGCCCCUGCUAAGGUCCACAAGGGCUUUCACCUGCUCUGCUGGGGAGCCAGUGCCGUGGCCCUGGCCAGCCUCCCCACCCGUCCACACCUCCUGCUUCCUCAUGGAGUCUGGGAUUGGCGUCAGGAGCUGUGAUGAAAGCGCCCAACCAUGUCCCCCCCAGCAGCCUGGGAACAGACGCACUGCCUCCCCCAAGUGAUGAUGAAUGGCACGCAUCCUUGUCUUACUCCUGACUACCAGGAGCGGCCCCAGCUUGAAACAUCGGGCCUGAUGUUUGCGACAGGUUUCUAGAAGGUUAGUUCUCGCCUCUUGGAAAAGAUUCCUUCAAUCCCUCAUUUCCUGUUGCAACUCAAAUGACAUUAAAUAAUGCUCACUGGUUGCAGACAUUCUGCUGAGCACUGUACUUCCAUCAUUGCAUUUUCUUCUUCUAACAGCUCUCCUUACUACUAUUUAUUUCUCUACCUUAUGUGAGAGCGAGAGGAUCACAGACAUUAACGACUUACCCCGGGAUGCAGCCCUGGGAAGCAGCUGAGUUGGCCCAGAAACCAAAGUGCCUCUGACUCCACUUGGGCUGUAGCAUCUGCUGCCUCUUGUAGUAUGUUUACACAUCAAAAAAAAAAAGUUGGGCACAUCUGCUAAGCAAGCAAAUGACUUUUUAGCAACACUGAGGUACUCCCACGAUGUAUCUGCAUUCACUCAUCCAACUGGCAGGCUAAAUACUACACUAUUGCGUUUUAUGGAGAGAGCAGUUUAUUCAUUCGUCUGUUUAUGGACACUUGGAUUGUUUCCACCUCUCGGCUCUUGUGAGAAACGCUGCCGUGAACAUGGUGUACAGGCAUCUUCAACCCAGCUGUCCCCUGACAACAUCUUCCUGUGAGUAAAGGGCCCCCGAGGGAGUCAGCUGCACCCUGGAACCCCAGAAUGUGGCAGUAUCCUCCAGGCCCUGCUGUGGACCUCAGCAUGCAGGCUGCCCUGACCAGGAAGAUGAGCACUCUGCUGCCCCGGGGCUCCCUCGCACGGCAAGGCUCGGCUUCUAGAAGGCAGCACCUGUGUCCACGGGUACACGAGGCCCACUGCAGGCCCCGGAGAUGGCAGCUCUUUGGCACCCUUUUCAACAAUUAGCCAAGUAAAGUCUGAAUUUUAUGGAAAGAAUCCGCCUGAGCUGCAGGCCUGGCCAGGCCCACUGCUGGCCCCUGCUGGCCUCUCGGGGGCGCUCUGGGCACACCCCACCUGGCCAGCAGCCCCCAGGCCUGGCCUCUCCAGCUCUCCCCUGGCCUUGGGCUUUUAACCUAUUUUAAGCCCUCCCCCGGCACCUCCUUCUCAGCCUGGAGUUGGUCAUGGUCUGGGAGUCAGACAUUCUGAGGAGUGAAGGCUCCUGGGCCCGUCGGGGGAGUGUGCCCACAGCUGCAGGUCCCAGGCCAGUGUCCACCCCGUCGGAGUCCACAGUCUCCACCCGGAGCCAGUGAAGCAGCUUCUCCUUCCGGGCCGCGGCGCUGGUGAAGGUGAUGCAGUGGGCGUCCAGGAAGUCCAGCAGCUUCCCCAUGGCCAUGCGGAUGCCAUGCUGCCUCAGCUCAGCCUGCAGCUCCGCCAGCUCAAAGGGCUGGUACAGCAGGACCUUGCGGUAGAGCGCCGGCGUGGUGCGGAUGUGACGCCACACAGCCUCCUCGGUGGCUGCUGCCUGGACGGCUGCCUGUGGCGCACCGGCCGCUGCCUCCUCGCCUUCCCCGUCUCCUGCACACUCAAAGGCUCCUCCAAACUCACUGGAACAACUGAAAAGAAGCAGACAAGGACACUCUGUGAUGUCCCUUCCCUCCAGCCCCCAAGCCCAGGAGCCUCUUUGAGGGAAGGAGUACAUUUCUGUGUCCCUUGUGAAGCCCAGCAUGUGGCAGGCACGAACCCCAGGGCGGCAGAAGCUCCAGGAUGGUGUGUGCCCGGCAUUCUGGCCGCCGGCCUGAGCACCCUGCCUCACCCAGAAUACACCACCAGCGGCCAGUCCCACGUGGGGAGCAUCCUGUGCGGCGAGUACACGGGAGCUCCAGAAGUCAGCUCAGGAGGUCAAGGGGACUGUCCCUUCACCCAGCCUGGGUUUCCUGUAGUCCAAACCCAGAAGGCGACUGGGACUUCUGAACAGUGGCCAUUGGGCCUCAUGCACGCCAACUCUUGGACCCACUGGUUAGGGGGGCCUACGAAACCACUGGCCGUCCUCCCACUCCAGUUACCUUUGUGAGCUAAAGGAGCUGUCACUGCUGUCCAGAGAGGAGGCUGUGGACUCCUGGGAGGCCGUGAGCUCGGUGUCACCAUCAGGGCCUGGACGUACCACCUCGGCUGGUGACAUGCCCAGCAGGGGUGUGCUUCCACCAGGCCACUGCUUUCGAUGUAGGGGGCCCUUGGUCUUAGCAGGUCCCUUGGAUCUCUGGGGAACAGGACCAGAAGUGGCCUCCAGCUGGACAUGGCCAGCUGUCCCUGAAGCCUCAGAGGUCUUGGUGGUGUGGCUCUGGCUGCGAGGAGUCCUCAGGGGCACCUCAUCCUCGGAGUCUGACCCCAGCGUCUGAUCUGCCUGUGCUGAACAUUUCAUGCAAAUGGAACCCUGCAACAUGAAGAACCUCUGGAGGCUUCUGUUCUUCUGUGUCCCAGUCAUCCCACAGCGCUGAAUUCAGAAAGCUUGGCCUGCUGCCUCCAGGGGAGCUGGCCCAAGAGGAUUUCUCUUGA